rnacentral:rRNA from 1 species
AACGUUACCAAACUGUUGCCUCGGCGGGAUCUCUGCCCCGGGUGCGUCGCAGCCCCGGACCAAGGCGCCCGCCGGAGGACCAACCAAAACUCUUAUUGUAUACCCCCUCGCGGGUUUUUUUAUAAUCUGAGCCUUCUCGGCGCCCCUCGUGGGCGUUUCGAAAAUGAAUCAAAACUUUCAACAACGGAUCUCUUGGUUCUGGCAUCGAUGAAGAACGCAGCGAAAUGCGAUAAGUAAUGUGAAUUGCAGAAUUCAGUGAAUCAUCGAAUCUUUGAACGCACAUUGCGCCCGCCAGUAUUCUGGCGGGCAUGCCUGUCCGAGCGUCAUUUCAACCCUCGAACCCCUCCGGGGGGUCGGCGUUGGGGAUCGGCCCUCCCUCUGCGGGGGCCGUCUCCGAAAUCCAGUGGCGGUCUCGCCGCAGCCUCUCCUGCGCAGUAGUUUGCACACUCGCACCGGGAGCGCGGCGCGUCCACAGCCGUUAAACACCCAACUUUCUGAAAUGUUGACCUCGGAUCAGGUAGGAAUACCCGCUGAACUUAAGCAUAUCAAUAAGCGGAGG